AGUUACCCGCUGAAAUUUAGCAUUCCAUAAGCGGAGGAAAAGAAACCACCCGGGAUUGCCUCAGUAACGGCGAGUGAAGCGGCAGCAGCUCAAAUUUGAAAUCUGGUCCCCCGAGGGGGCCCGAGUUGUAGUUUGGAGAAGACGCUGUGGGCGCGCGCCCGGGCCCAAGUGCCCUGGGACGGGACGUCGCAGAGGGUGAGAACCCCGUACGGGGCCCGGCGCGCGCGCCCCGCACCCAGCUCUUUCGACGAGUCGAGUUGUUUGGGAAUGCAGCUCCAAGCGGGUGGUAUAUUUCAUCUAAAGCUAAAUACGGGCCGGAGACCGAUAGCGCACAAGUAGAGUGAUCGAAAGAUGAAAAGCACUUUGGAAAGAGAGUUAAACAGCACGUGAAAUUGUUGAAAGGGAAGCGCUGGCGACCAGACGUGGGCGCGGAGGUACCCCCGGCGCAAACGCGCCCGUGGGCAUCCGUCGCGCCCAGGCCCGCAUCAGUCUCGGGGGUCGGAGAAGGGCUGGGGGAACGUGGCUCCCCGCGGGGAGCGUUAUAGCCCCCAGCGUCACGCGGCCCCCCGGGACUGAGGAUCGCGCCGCGGCGAGGAUGCGGGCGUAAUGGUCGUCAGCGACCCGUCUUGAAACACGGACCAAGGAGUCCAACAUCUGUGCGAGUGUGCGGGCGCGCAAAACCCGCGCGCGCAAUCAACGUGAACGCAGGUGGGAACCCCCCCGGGGGGGGCACCAUCGACCGAUCCCGAAGCCCCGCGGACGGAUUUGAGUAGGAGCACAGCUGUUGGGACCCGAAAGAUGGUGAACUAUGCCUGGGUAGGGUGAAGCCAGAGGAAACUCUGGUGGAGGCUCGCAGCGGUUCUGACGUGCAAAUCGAUCGUCAAACCUGGGUAUAGGGGCGAAAGACAAUCAACAAUCC
rnacentral:rRNA from 1 species